UGUGUGUGUGUAUGUAUUGAAACUUUUCUGAAAAGUGCGUUCGACAUUAGCAUGAAGGAAAUUGCGAGCUACUCUUCGACUCACAAAAUUUUUUAAGUCGAUAUCAGCUCAUCCCCCAAAUGAACUUUUUAUCCACAGCUUGUUGUUGAGCAGCUAGAGAAAAAAUGUGUGUCGUUGUAACUUUGAGCUUGGCAAUACCGAAGAAAGACUCUUGGCACAUAAGUUUUGUGCACGUUAAGUACUUUUUCAUAACCAUCGCUCUUGUUGUUUGGGUGGGUUCUCUGUUCCGUAUUCCAAUGCCUUCGGGGCAUAAUAUGCACAUGCAACAACAGCAACAAAUAAUAGAGAAUGGCAAUAAAAGUACGAUACGUAU